AAGUCGUAACAAGGUUUCCGUAGGUGAACCUGCGGAAGGAUCAUUAGCGAAGUUCGGAAUGCAUGUUCGACGUUGAUGCUGCCCAGCAAUGGGAUGUGCUCGCUCGGAUGUGUGUCCCUUCUCUAUCCACCCCAUUGUGAACCAAGUGUGUGAGCCGAAGAGAAAUCGGAUGCUCGCAUGCAAACCUUUAACAUACCCCAAUUAAGUAUCAGAAUGUACCUUGCGUUAACUCGCACAAAUAUAACUUUCAACAACGGAUCUCUUGGCUCUC
rnacentral:misc_RNA from 1 species